GGGCUGGGGCUCAGUGGCAGAGCACUCACCUAGCAUGUGCGAGGCCCUGGGUUCGAUCCUCAGCACCACA
rnacentral:tRNA from 1 species